rnacentral:rRNA from 1 species
UACGUAGGGGGCAAGCGUUGUCCGGAUUUAUUGGGCGUAAAGAGCGUGUAGGCGGCCUGACAGGUCUGCUGUGAAAACUCGAGGCUCAACCUCGAGAUGUCGGCGGAAACCAUCUAGCUAGAGUCCGGAAGAGGAGAGUGGAAUUCCUGGUGUAGCGGUGAAAUGCGCAGAUAUCAGGAAGAACACCCGUGGCGAAGGCGGCUCUCUGGGACGUGACUGACGCUGAGACGCGAAAGCGUGGGGAGCGAACAGG